UUUUCAGCAGAAGUAUGUCCCAUGCAAUAUUUGGGACAUAUUUAUACUAAAA
rfam:Otolemur garnettii contig000403, whole genome shotgun sequence.